UACGGAGGGCGCUAGCGUUGUUCGGAAUUACCGGGCGUAAAGCGCACGUAGGCGGCUUUUUAAGUCAGGGGUGAAAUCCCGGGGCUCAACCCCGGAACUGCCCUUGAAACUGGAGAGCUAGAAUCUUGGAGAGGCGAGUGGAAUUCCGAGUGUAGAGGUGAAAUUCGUAGAUAUUCGGAAGAACACCAGUGGCGAAGGCGACUCGCUGGACACGUAUUGACGCUGAGGUGCGAAAGCGUGGGGAGCAAACAGG
rnacentral:rRNA from 1 species